UCGAGCGGGCAUAGCAAUAUGUCAGCGGCAGACGGGUGAGUAACGCGUGGGAACGUACCUUUUGGUUCGGAACAACUGAGGGAAACUUCAGCUAAUACCGGAUAAGCCCUUACGGGGAAAGAUUUAUCGCCGAAAGAUCGGCCCGCGUCUGAUUAGCUAGUUGGUGAGGUAAUGGCUCACCAAGGCGACGAUCAGUAGCUGGUCUGAGAGGAUGAUCAGCCACAUUGGGACUGAGACACGGCCCAAACUCCUACGGGAGGCAGCAGUGGGGAAUAUUGGACAAUGGGCGCAAGCCUGAUCCAGCCAUGCCGCGUGAGUGAUGAAGGCCCUAGGGUUGUAAAGCUCUUUUGUGCGGGAAGAUAAUGACGGUACCGCAAGAAUAAGCCCCGGCUAACUUCGUGCCAGCAGCCGCGGUAAUACGAAGGGGGCUAGCGUUGCUCGGAAUCACUGGGCGUAAAGGGUGCGUAGGCGGGUCUUUAAGUCAGGGGUGAAAUCCUGGAGCUCAACUCCAGAACUGCCUUUGAUACUGAAGAUCUUGAGUUCGGGAGAGGUGAGUGGAACUGCGAGUGUAGAGGUGAAAUUCGUAGAUAUUCGCAAGAACACCAGUGGCGAAGGCGGCUC
rnacentral:rRNA from 1 species